rnacentral:ncRNA from 1 species
UGGUAACGGGUAACGGGGAAUCAGGGUUCGAUUCCGGAGUAGGGAGCCUGAGAAACGGCUACCACAUCCAAGGAAGGCAGCAGGCGCGCAAAUUACCCACUCCCGGAACGGGGAGGUAGUGACGAAAAAUAACGAUACGGGACUCAUCCGAGGCCCCGUAAUCGGAAUGAGAACACUUUAAAACCUUUAAACGAGGAUCAAUUGGAGGGCAAGUCUGGUGCCAGCAGCCGCGGUAAUUCCAGCUCCAAUAGCGUAUAUUAAAGUUGUUGCGGUUAAAAAGCUCGUAGUCGGAUCUGUGUCUGGACGGUGCCGGACCACCCUGGCGGUCCGUCGUGUCGCGGCCGGCCGUGUCGCGGGACCACGUGUCCCGUCGGCGCGGUCGCCGUCGCGCUCGUCAGCCGUCUCGGGGUGUUAGUUACCGGCACGUCGGCCGGACGUAUUGUCGGCAGGCGGACACGUGUCUCGUGCUUCCGGCGCGCCGCGCGGCCACGCGUCGCGCGGCCGUCGGUGUUCGACGACGGCGGCCGCCUACUCCAAUCUUGCUGCGCGGUGCUCUUCACCGAGUGCCGUCGGCGGGCCGACACGUUUACUUUGAACAAAUUAGAGUGCUCAAAGCAGGCUCGAAUCUGGCGGGGCGGCUUCACGGCCGUCUCGUCAAAAGGCCCUGAAUACUGGUCGCAUGGAAUAAUGGAACAAGACCUCGGUCCCGCGCAUCUCCG